rnacentral:rRNA from 1 species
AGGGAAUCUUCCACAAUGGACGAAAGUCUGAUGGAGCAACGCCGCGUGAGUGAUGAAGGUUUUCGGAUCGUAAAACUCUGUUGUAAGGGAAGAACCAGUACGUCAGGCAAUGGACGUACCUUGACGGUACCUUAUUAGAAAGCCACGGCUAACUACGUGCCAGCAGCCGCGGUAAUACGUAGGUGGCAAGCGUUGUCCGGAAUUAUUGGGCGUAAAGCGCGCGCAGGUGGUUUCUUAAGUCUGAUGUGAAAGCCCACGGCUUAACCGUGGAAGGGCAAUGGAAACCGGGAGACUUGAGUGCAGGAGAGGGAAAUGGAAAUCCAAGUGUAGGCGUUGAAUUCGUAGAGAUUUGGGGGAACACCAAUUGCGAAGGCGGCUUUCUGGGCCGCAACUGGCGCUGGGGCGCGGAAGCAUGGGGAGCAAACA